CAUUUGGUGGUACGCUGGAAGAUAUGCUACAAGUACGCUGUAUUACUAAUCGACGCUGGCAAUAAUGCGUCUGAAACCUUUGAAGGGCCCUGUAAUGGCUUUUACAAACAGCGCAUUCAAGUUAGCGUUCCAGUCUCAUACGAUAGCCCACAGCGUUUGUCAUACAACCUGCCAGCGCAUUUCCUUCGUCCACGAAAAAAGAUGAAUAAUGGUGAUAAAGAUGAAUAAGCCACCCGUUCCGGCGCGCAUGGCGCGCAGAGAGAGAGCGAAAAAAAAAAUGAAGGAGGAAAAGGCGCUCACACUCCUCCGAGCGCGCGCGCUCUCGCGCGCGGAGCUCCUGCGCAUGCGCGGAGAUCUUGCGCAUGCGCGGCGGUGCGCCAUCUCAACGAGUGCGCCAGGCACGUAUACGGUUGUACCGGUGUGCGGUGUCCGCCUGAACGUUGGUGUCUGUGUAUGCGUGUCAUCUUUGUGGCAUCACACGUCAACUACACUGAACGCAUACACCUGCAGCACCUUUGGGACUAAUGACACAAAGGUCAAGGCCAGCCUGGCGACCAUGCUUGCCAAGGAGUAGUGUAAAUAUUUAAUCUGUUUCCAUAAUAGCAUAAGACAAGAAUUUAAGGAAUUCAUGUAUUAUAUCGAGCAAUAAAAACGGUUAAUGCAUUGCC